CAAGUCGAACGAAUCCCAUGGGGGGUAACUCUGUGGGGGAAGUGGCGAAAGGGGCAGUAAGGCAUGGGUAACCUACCCCGGGGAUCGGGAUAGCCAUUCUAACGAGUGGGUAAUACCGGGCGAUGCGACGAGGGGGCAUCUCUUUGUCGUGAAAUGAGUUUCGCCUCGGGAGGGGCUCAUGUAGUAUUAGCUUGUUGGUGAGGUAACGGCUCACCAAGGCCAAGAUGCUUAGCGGGUGUGAGAGCACGACCCGCGCCACUGGCACUGAGACACUGGCCAGACUCCUACGGGAGGCUGCAGUCGAGGAUCUUCGGCAAUGGGCGCAAGCCUGACCGAGCGACGCCGCGUGUGCGAUGAAGGCCUUCGGGUUGUAAAGCACUGUCGAGGGGGAGGAAAGCCCGCAAGGGUCUGACCUAUCCCUGGAGGAAGCACGGGCUAAGUUCGUGCCAGCAGCCGCGGUAAGACGAACCGUGCGAACGUUGUUCGGAUUCACUGGGCUUAAAGGGCGCGUAGGCGGGCGGUCAAGUCGGGGGUGAAAUCUUUCAGCUUAACUGGAAAAGUGCCUCCGAUACUGAUCGCCUCGAGGGAGGUAGGGGCAUGUGGAACUUCCGGUGGAGCGGUGAAAUGCGUAGAUAUCGGAAGGAACGCCGGUGGCGAAAGCGACGUGCUGGACCUCUUCUGACGCUGAGGCGCGAAAGCUAGGGGAGCAAACGGGAUUAGAUACCCCGGUAGUCCUAGCCCUAAACGAUGGGGUACUAGAUUGUGGACUUAACAUGGGUUCACAGUCGA
rnacentral:rRNA from 1 species